AGCAGCCGCGGUAAUUCCAGCUCCAAUAGCGUAUAUUAAAGUUGUUGCAGUUAAAAAGCUCGUAGUUGAAUUUCGGGAUCAAUAUAUCGGUCAUGCUUAGGUAUGUACUGGUAUUAUUGAUUUCUCCCUUCUGAAGAACCAUGAUGUCAUUAAUUUGAUGUCGUGGGGAAUCAGGACUGUUACUUUGAAAAAAUUAGAGUGUUUAAAGCAGGCAUACGCUUGAAUACAUUAGCAUGGAAUAAUGAAAUAGGACGUUUGAUUCUAUUUUGUUGGUUUCUAGGAUCGACGUAAUGAUUAAUAGGGAUAGUUGGGGGCAUUAGUAUUCAAUUGUCAGAGGUGAAAUUCUUGGAUUUAUUGAAGACUAACUACUGCGAAAGCAUUUGCCAAGGAUGUUUUCAUUAAUCAAGAACGAAAGUUAGGGGAUCGAAGACGAUCAGAUACCGUCGUAGUCUUAACCAUAAACUAUGCCGACUAGGGAUCGGAUGAUGUUAAUUUUUUAAUGACUCAUUCGGCGCCUUACG
rnacentral:rRNA from 1 species